rnacentral:tRNA from 29 species
GGGGAGAUAGUGAAGUGGCUAAACACGGCAGACUGUAAAUCUGCUCCCUCCGGGUUCGGCGGUUCGAAUCCGUCUCUCCCCACCA